rnacentral:lncRNA from 1 species
AUUCAGGCUCUGCGUUUACAGCACGCCUGCAGCCCGUGGCACUUUCUCCUCUGCAUGUUUCCAGAGAAAAAGGAAACCAUCUUUCUUCGAACUUAGGGAGGAGUCUGUGGCGCUUGUCAAAAUGAGAAAGUGAUCAUCAGAGUGUGGCUUGGUAUUCCUGCUGCUGGAGCCUUCAGGAGCCAGCGCUCAGCCCUGCUGAAGCCAGAGGAGGAGGGCGGAGAAGCACAGCCUGAUCAGGUACUGAGCCAGUCAUGGGAAUGGUUGUUGGAUGCAGAGUUAAGUUAUGGGUGGUCAUUAGUUACAAAAAGUUACAUUCUUUGGAAGGUCUUGUUAACAUGUGUGGUUCAAUGGAGGCCCAGUAAAG